rnacentral:rRNA from 1 species
CAGCAGCCGCGGGAAUACGAAGGGUGCAAGCGUUAAUCGGAAUUACUGGGCGUAAAGCGUGCGUAGGCGGUGGGUUAAGUCUGCUGUGAAAUCCCCGGGCUCAACCUGGGAAUGGCAGUGGAUACUGGCUCGCUAGAGUGUGUCAGAGGAUGGUGGAAUUCCCGGUGUAGCGGUGAAAUGCGUAGAGAUCGGGAGGAACAUCAGUGGCGAAGGCGGCCAUCUGGGACAACACUGACGCUGAGGCACGAAAGCGUGGGGAGCAAACAGGAUUAGAUACCCCCGUAGUCCCUGUCUCUUAUAA